GACGAACGCUGGCGGCGUGCUUAACACAUGCAAGUCGAACGGAAAGGCCUGCUUUCCCUUGUGGAUUGCGGGUACUCGAGUGGCGAGCGGGUGAGUAACACGUGAGUGAUCUGCCCCCAACUUGGGUAUAAGCCUGGGAAACUGGGUCUAAUUCCCGAUAGGACUGCAGGGUGGUGCCUGUGGUGGAAAACGAUUUUCUAGUGGUUGGGGAUGAGCUCGCGGCCUAUCAGCUUGUUGGUGGGGUAAUGGCCUACCAAGGCGGCGACGGGUAGCCGGCCUGAGAGGGUGGACGGCCACAUUGGGACUGAGAUACGGCCCAGACUCCUACGGGAGGCAGCAGUGGGGAAUAUUGCACAAUGGGCGGAAGCCUGAUGCAGCGACGCCGCGUGGGGGAUGACGGCCUUCGGGUGGUAAACUCCUUUCGACCGCGAGGAAGCCACCUGGUUGGAAGGGUGGUGACGGUAGUGGUAGAAGAAGCACCGGCUAACUACGUG
rnacentral:rRNA from 1 species